rnacentral:lncRNA from 1 species
CCUCGGAUCGAAAUAUUCAUGAUCUUUCUCGAAUCAAAGUGGCCAUGAUCUUUCUCGGAUCAAAUCAUUCAUGAUCUUUCUCGGAUCAGAUUCUUCAUGAUCUUUCUCGGAUCAUAUUAUUCUUCCACACAUAAGCCUGUGGGGGCUGUCCCGGGCAUAAGCUCCGGGCAAGCUAUUCCACAUGACAAGACCAGUCCAAACCAUAUUUCUCUUUCUUUUCAUUUUCAUGAAAUUAAAAUAUUUGACUUCAUUAAUCAAUUCAAAUUUUGCAAUGUAAUAAAUAUGUCAUACCCAUAUAAUCAUGCUAUCAAUCGCUGAUACAUAUGUAUUGAUAUAACAUACUCAUGCUCAAAAUCACAUAAAUAAAUAACAGUGUCUC